rnacentral:rRNA from 1 species
UAGCGGCGAACGGGUGAGUAACACGUGAGCAACCUGCCCCGAAGUCCGGGAUAAGCGGGGAAACCUGGUCUAAUACCGGAUAGCCCCCGCGGUUCGCAUGGACUGCGGAGGAAAGAUUUAUCGCUUCGGGAGGGGCUCGCGGCCUAUCAGCUUGUUGGUGGGGUAACGGCCCACCAAGGCUACGACGGGUAGCUGGUCUGAGAGGACGAUCAGCCACACUGGGACUGAGACACGGCCCAGACUCCUACGGGAGGCAGCAUGGGGAAUCUUGCGCAAUGGGCGAAAGCCUGACGCAGCAACCCGCGUGCGGGACGAAGGCCUUCGGGUUGUAAACCGCUUUCAGCAGGGACGAAGCAAGACGGUACCUGCAGAAGAAGCCCCGGCCAACUACGUGCCAGCAGCCGCGGUAACACGUAGGGGGCGAGCGUUGUCCGGAUUUAUUGGGCGUAAAGAGCUCGUAGGCGGCUCGGUAAGUCGACUGUGAAAGCUCCGGGCUCAACCCGGAGAGGCCAGUCGAUACUGCCGUGGCUAGAGUCCGGUAGAGGAGCGUGGAAUUCCUGGUGUAGCGGUGAAAUGCGCAGAUAUCAGGAGGAACACCGAUGGCGAAGGCAGCGCUCUGGGCCGGCACUGACGCUGAGGAGCGAAAGCGUGGGUAGCAAACAGGAUUAGAUACCCUGGUAGUCCACGCCGUAAACGUUGGGCACUAGGUGUGGGGACU